rnacentral:tRNA from 1 species
ACCGAGAAGGUCUACGGUUCGAGUCCGUAUAGCCCUAACCGAGAAGGUCUACGGUUCGAGUCCGUAUAGCCCUA